GGGGCCGUAACGGUAUCGACAGGUUGGCGAAAGCUGAACCGUGAUGCAGGUCGAGAGGGAGUUGUCUCUCGUAAAUAAAAGACUCAAACAAAACGUAACUGCGAAUAACAUCGUACCUUUUGCUCGUAAAGCAGCAGCUGUUGCUUAAUAACCUCUAAUCGGUUCGAGCGUUCGUAGUCUGACUCCGUUAAGGGCUACGGACAAACCCCAACGGAUGCACCCACUAGUUACCUCUGGUUGACUAGUUCGGUAAAGACUUUACCAGAGACUCCCAUCGCUAGGAACAAGUAGCGUUUCCUGCUCUGAGGAUUAGAAGGGCUAAACCUGUGAAUGAACGUCAAGUAAAUACCCAAUUUGGACAGCAGUUCGACUCUGCUCGGCUCCAUUA
rnacentral:tmRNA from 1 species